rnacentral:lncRNA from 1 species
CGAAAUUAUUUCUCCGUGUUUGGCAUGCAGAUUUUCAUUCCGAUUCUAAUUUCUGGGUGAAUGCGAAUCCCCUAAUUGCCUUUCUUUUCAAUCCGGCCUAAGUAGCUAAGCUGGAUUGGAAAAUUGAAUCUGAGCGCGGAUUAAACUUAAUUUUUUAAGCUUAUUUUUUAAUUAAAAUAUAAGUUUAAGUUAAAAAUUAUAUUUAUAAAUUUAAAUUUUAUUUUUAACUUCAAAUAAAAAUUAAAAUUCAAUCAAACAUUUCGAAUCUAAUUUAUAAAUUUGAAUUUAAAUUUAAAUUUGAUUUAGAAUCUAAAGUUUUAUUCAAAUUUUUAUUUAAAAUUUAAAUUAAAUUAUGGAUUCAAAUUGAAAUUGAAAUUAUAAUUUUAAGCUUGAAUUUGAAUAAAUCGAAAUUUAGUUUUAUAUUUUGAAUUAUCCGUUCAAUUUCAAAUUUUAAUUUUUUAAAAAAUUAUAUUUAAAAUUUUGACAUCAUUUUAAAAUUUUGACCUAUAUUUUUAAUAUUUAAUUUUCAAUUUGAAUUUAAACUAAUAUAUUAUAAAGAUAAAAUUGACAUAUUAAUUUGUUUACGUUUCUGAUAUCUAUCUGAACCAAACAUCAACAAUGGGAAUGGUUCAUUUCAAUUCUGAUUUAGAUGGCGAACCAAACAGAAUGAGAUAAUGAAUAAUUCCGAUUCCGUUUCCACUUUAUUCUCAUUUUGAUUCCGUCCGAUAUCGAUUACGAUUUCGAACCAAACACACUCAUAGAGUAGUCCUUUUUUCCCGCACAUACAAAUUUAGAGAAAGUAUCUCUCAAU